GAUGAACGCUGGCGGCGUUCCUAAUACAUGCAAGUCGAGCGAACUUUUGGGAGCUUGCUCCCAAAAGUUAGUGGCGGACGGGUGAGUAACACGUGGGUCACCUGCCUGUAAGACUGGUAUAACUUCGGGAAACCGUAGCUAAUACCGGAUAACAUUGAAUACCACAUGGCCUUCAAUUAAAAGGUGGCUUUUAGCUACCACUUACAGAUGGACCCGCGGCGCAUUAGCUAGUUGGUGAGGUAACGGCUCACCAAGGCGACGAUGCGUAGCCGACCUGAGAGGGUGAUCGUCCAUACUGGGACGGAGACACGGCCCAGACACCCUCGGGAGGUACAAGAAGGGAUUCUGAUGUGAUGGACGGCCGUCAGACGGAGCAAGGCUGCGUGAGGUAAGAUGGCAUUAGGGUCGUAAAUGUCAGGUUAAAGAUAUGAACUAGGAGCGUACGAAGAGGGCGAUACCUGGAAGGGACCUAAGCAGAAAGCCAAGGCUAACUACAUG
rnacentral:rRNA from 1 species